rnacentral:rRNA from 1 species
UACGGAGGGUGCGAGCGUUAAUCGGAAUUACUGGGCGUAAAGCGCACGCAGGCGGUUUGUUAAGCUAGAUGUGAAAGCCCCGGGCUCAACCUGGGAUGGUCAUUUAGAACUGGCAGACUAGAGUCUUGGAGAGGGGAGUGGAAUUCCAGGUGUAGCGGUGAAAUGCGUAGAUAUCUGGAGGAACAUCAGUGGCGAAGGCGACCCCCUGGCCAAAGACUGACGCUCAUGUGCGAAAGUGUGGGUAGCGAACAGG